rnacentral:rRNA from 1 species
UACGUAGGGUGCAAGCGUUAAUCGGAAUUACUGGGCGUAAAGCGUGCGCAGGCGGUCUGUUAAGACCGAUGUGAAAUCCCCGGGCUUAACCUGGGAACUGCAUUGGUGACUGGCAGGCUUUGAGUGUGGCAGAGGGAGGUAGAAUUCCACGUGUAGCAGUGAAAUGCGUAGAGAUGUGGAGGAAUACCGAUGGCGAAGGCAGCCUCCUGGGCCAACACUGACACUGAGAGACGAAAGCUAGGGGAGCGAAUGGG